rnacentral:rRNA from 1 species
CUCCAGACUCCUACGGGAGGCAGCAGUGGGGGAUAUUGCACAAUGGGGGGAACCCUGAUGCAGCGACGCCGCGUGGGUGAAGGAGCGUUUCGGCGCGUAAAGCCCUCUCGGCAGGGAAGAAGGAGGACGGUACCUGACUAAGAAGCCCCGGCUAACUACGUGCCAGCAGCCGCGGUAAUACGUAGGGGGCAAGCGUUAUCCGGAUUUACUGGGUGUAAAGGGGGCGCAGACGGCGCGCCAAGUCUGAUGUGAAACCCCGGGGCUCAACCCCGGGCAUGCAUUGGAAACUGGCGGGCUGGAGUGCCGGAGAGGUAAGCGGAAUUCCUAGUGUAGCGGUGAAAUGCGUAGAUAUUAGGAGGAACACCAGUGGCGAAGGCGGCUUACUGGACGGCAACUGACGCUGAGGCUCGAAAGCGUGGGGAGCAAACAGGAUUAGAUACCCGAGUACGC